rnacentral:rRNA from 1 species
AAUAUUGGACAAUGGGGGCAACCCUGAUCCAGCCAUGCCGCGUGUUUGAAGAAGGUCUUCGGAUAGUAAAGAACUUUAUGUUGGGAGAUAGGGCUGUAGGUUAAUACCCUGAAGUUUUGUCGUUCCCAAUAGAAUAAGUACCGGCUCACUCUGUUCCCGCAUCCGCGGUAAUACAGCGGGUGCAAGCGUUAAUCGGAAGUACUGGGCGUAAAGCGCGCGUAGGUGGUUCAGUAAGAUGGGUGUGAAAUCCCCGGGCUUAACCUGGGAACUGCUUUCAUAACUGCUGAGCUAGAGUACGGUAGAGGGUAGUGGAAUUUCCUGUGUAGCGGUGAAAUGCGUAGAUAUAGGAAGGAACACCAGUGGCGAAGGCGACUACCUGGACUGAUACUGACACUGAGGUGCGAAAGCGUGGGGAGCAAACA